GAUGAACGCUGGCGGCGUGCCUAAUACAUGCAAGUCGAGCGAACAGACGAGGAGCUUGCUCCUCUGACGUUAGCGGCGGACGGGUGAGUAACACGUGGAUAACCUACCUAUAAGACUGGGAUAACUUCGGGAAACCGGAGCUAAUACCGGAUAAUAUAUUGAACCGCAUGGUUCAAUAGUGAAAGACGGUUUUGCUGUCACUUAUAGAUGGAUCCGCGCCGCAUUAGCUAGUUGGUAAGGUAACGGCUUACCAAGGCGACGAUGCGUAGCCGACCUGAGAGGGUGAGCGGCCACACUGGAACUGAGACACGGUCCAGACUCCUACGGGAGGCAGCAGUAGGGAAUCUUCCGCAAUGGGCGAAAGCCUGACGGAGCAACGCCGCGUGAGUGAUGAAGGUCUUCGGAUCGUAAAACUCUGUUAUUAGGGAAGAACAAAUGUGUAAGUAACUAUGCACGUCUUGACGGUACCUAAUCAGAAAGCCACGGCUAACUACGU
rnacentral:rRNA from 1 species